UACAGAGGGCGCGAGCGUUGUCCGGAAUCACUGGGCGUAAAGGGCGCGUAGGUGGCGGCAUAAGGCCGUGGUGAAAGUCUGGAGCUCAACUCCAGAUCGGCCAUGGCAACUGUGUCGCUAGGGCACCGUAGAGGCAGAUGGAAUUCCAGGUGUAGCGGUGAAAUGCGUAGAUAUCUGGAGGAACAUCGGUGGCGAAGGCGGCUCACUGGACGACUGUUGACGCUGAGGUACGAAAGCGUGGGGAGCAAACAGG
rnacentral:rRNA from 1 species